AUCAACUUUCGAUGGUAGGAUAGAGGCCUACCAUGGUGGUAACGGGUAACGGGGUGUUAGGGCACGACACCGGAGAGGGAGCCUGAGAAACGGCUACCACAUCCAAGGAUGGCAGCAGGCGCGCAAAUUACCCAAUCCCGACACGGGGAGGUAGUGACAAUAAAUAACAAUACGGGGUUCUUUCGGAUCUCGUAAUUGGAAUGAGUACAAUUUAAAUCUCUUAACGAGGAACAAUUGGAGGGCAAGUCUGGUGCCAGCAGCCGCGGUAAUUCCAGCUCCAAUAGCGUAUAUUAAAGUUGUUGCAGUUAAAAAGCUCGUAGUUKAAUUUCGGGGUUAGUAGGUUGGUCAUGCCUCUGGUAUGUACUGGUCUCACUGAUUCCUCCUUCCUGAUGAACCGUAAUGCCAUUAAUUUGGUGUUGCGGGGAAUUUGGACUGUUACUUUGAAAAAAUUAGAGUGUUUAAAGCAAGCUAACGCUUGAAUACAUUAGCAUGGAAUAAUGAAAUAGGACGUUCGAUCCUAUUUUGUUGGUUUCUAGGAUUGACGUAAUGAUUAAUAGGGAUAGUUGGGGGCAUUAGUAUUCAAUUGUCAGAGGUGAAAUUCUUGGAUUUAUUGAAGACUAACUACUGCGAAAGCAUUUGCCAAGGAUGUUUUCAUUAAUCAAGAACGAAAGUUAGGGGAUCGAAGACGAUCAGAUACCGUCGUAGUCUUAACCAUAAACUAUGCCGACUAGGGAUCGGAUGAUGUUAAUUUUUUAAUGACUCAUUCGGCGCCUUACGGGAAACCAAAGUGUUUGGGUUC
rnacentral:rRNA from 1 species